rnacentral:rRNA from 1 species
AUUGAACGCUGGCGGCAGGCCUAACACAUGCAAGUCGAACGAGUGGCGGACGGGUGAGUAAGGUCUGGGAAACUGCCGGAUGGAGGGGGAUAACUACUGGAAACGGUAGCUAAUACCGCAUACCAUCAGAUGUGUCAAGAGGGGAUUAGCUAGUUGGUGGGGUAACGGCUCACCAAGGCGACGAUCCCUAGCUGGUCUGAGAGGAUGACCCGCACAACUGGAACUGAGCCACGGUCCAGACUCCGACGGGAGGCAGCAGUGGGGAAUAUUGCACAAUGGGCGCAAGCCUGAUGCAGCCAUGCCGCGUGUAUGAAGAAGGCCUUCGGGUUGUAAAGUACUUUCAGCGGGGAGGCGUUACCCGCAGAAGAAGCACCGGCUAACUCCGUGCCAGCCGCCGCGGUAAUUC